rnacentral:rRNA from 1 species
GAUGAACGCUAGCGGCGGGCUUAAUACAUGCAAGUCGAGGGGCAGCGCAGUGUCGCAAUACAUGGGCGGCGACCGGCAAACGGGUGCGGAACACGUACGCAACCUUCCUUUAAGUGGGGGAUAGCCCAGGGAAACUUGGAUUAAUACCCCGUAAUAUUAUGAAGUGGCAUCACUUUAUACUUAUAGCUCCGGCGCUUAAAGAUGGGCGUGCGACUGAUUAGGUAGUUGGCGGGGUAACGGCCCACCAAGCCUGCGAUCAGUAACUGGUGUGAGAGCACGACCAGUCACACGGGAACUGAGACACGGGCCCGACUCCUACGGGAGGCAGCAGUAAGGAAUAUUGGUCAAUGGACGUAAGUCUGAACCAGCCAUGCCGCGUGGAGGAUGAAGGUCCUCUGGAUUGUAAACUUCUUUUAUUUGGGAAGAAACCCACUGUUUCUACGGUGGUUGACGGUACCAGAUGAAUAAGCACCGGCUAACUCCGUGCCAGCCGCCGCAGUAA